rnacentral:rRNA from 1 species
GGUUAAGUUAGAAAGGGCGCACGGUGAAUGCCUUGGCACUAGGAGCCGAUGAAGGACGGGACUAACACCGAUAUGCUUCGGGGAGCUGUAAGUGAGCUUUGAUCCGGAGAUUUCCGAAUGGGGGAAACCCACUGUUCGUAAUGGAACAGUAUCUUUAUCUGAAUACAUAGGAUAUUGAAGGCAGACCCGGGGAACUGAAACAUCUAAGUACCCGGAGGAAGAGAAAGCAAAUGCGAUUUCCUGAGUAGCGGCGAGCGAAACGGAAUUAGCCCAAACCAAGAGGCUUGCCUCUUGGGGUUGUAGGACACUCUAUACGGAGUUACAAAGGAACGAAGUAAAUGAAGCGACCUGGAAAGGUCCGUCGAAGAAGGUAACAACCCUGUAGUUGAAACUUCGUUCCCUCUUGAGUGGAUCCUGAGUACGGCGGAACACGUGAAAUUCCGUCGGAAGCUGGGAGGACCAUCUCCCAAGGCUAAAUACUACCUAGUGACCGAUAGUGAACCAGUACCGUGAGGGAAAGGUGAAAAGCACCCCGGAAGGGGAGUGAAAGAGAUCCUGAAACCGUGUGCCUACAAGUAGUCAGAGCCCGUUAACGGGUGAUGGCGUGCCUUUUGUAGAAUGAACCGGCGAGUUACGAUCCCAUGCAAGGUUAAGCUGAUAAGGCGGAGCCGUAGCGAAAGCAAGUCUGAAUAGGGCGUUUAGUAUGUGGUUGUAGACCCGAAACCAGGUGAUCUACCCAUGUCCAGGGUGAAGUUCAGGUAACACUGAAUGGAGGCCCGAACCCACGCACGUUGAAAAGUGCGGGGAUGAGGUGUGGGUAGCGGAGAAAUUCCAAUCGAACCUGGAGAUAGCUGGUUCUCUCCGAAAUAGCUUUAGGGCUAGCCUCAUGUUGUGAGAGUCUUGGAGGUAGAGCACUGAUUGGACUAGGGGCCCCCAACGGGUUACCGAAUUCAGUCAAACUCCGAAUGCCAAAGACUUAUCCAUGGGAGUCAGACUGCGAGUGAUAAGAUCCGUAGUCAAAAGGGAAACAGCCCAGACCACCAGCUAAGGUCCCCAAGUAUACGUUAAGUGGAAAAGGAUGUGGAGUUGCUUAGACAACCAGGAUGUUGGCUUAGAAGCAGCCACCAUUUAAAGAGUGCGUAAUAGCUCACUGGUCGAGUGACUCUGCGCCGAAAAUGUACCGGGGCUAAACGUAUCACCGAAGCUGUGGAUUGACAUCUUUGAUGUCAGUGGUAGGAGAGCGUUCUAAGUGCUGUGAAGUCAGACCGUAAGGACUGGUGGAGCGCUUAGAAGUGAGAAUGCCGGUAUGAGUAGCGAAAGACAAGUGAGAAUCUUGUCCACCGAAUGCCUAAGGUUUCCUGAGGAAGGCUCGUCCGCUCAGGGUUAGUCGGGACCUAAGCCGAGGCUGAAAAGCGUAGGCGAUGGCCAACAGGUUGAUAUUCCUGUACCACCUCCCCGCCGUUUGAGUAAUGGGGGGACGCAGUAGGAUAGGGUAAGCGCGCUGCUGGAUAUGCGCGUUCAAGCAGUUAGGCUGAUGAGUAGGCAAAUCCGCUCAUCAUGAAGGCUGAGCUGUGAUGACGAGGGAAUUAUAGUACCGAAGUUCCUGAUUCCACACUGCCAAGAAAAGCCUCUAGCGAGGCGGGAGGUGCCCGUACCGCAAACCGACACAGGUAGGCGAGGAGAGAAUCCUAAGGUGAUCGAGAGAACUCUCGUUAAGGAACUCGGCAAAAUGACCCCGUAACUUCGGGAGAAGGGGUGCUCUGGUAGGGUGUAUAGCCCGAGAGAGCCGCAGUGAAUAGGCCCAGGCGACUGUUUAGCAAAAACACAGGUCUCUGCGAAGCCGCAAGGCGAAGUAUAGGGGCUGACGCCUGCCCGGUGCUGGAAGGUUAAGAGGAGGGGUUAUCCUUUGGGAGAAGCUCUGAAUCGAAGCCCCAGUAAACGGCGGCCGUAACUAUAACGGUCCUAAGGUAGCGAAAUUCCUUGUCGGGUAAGUUCCGACCCGCACGAAAGGCGUAACGAUCUGGGCACUGUCUCAACGAGAGACUCGGUGAAAUUAUAGUACCUGUGAAGAUGCAGGUUACCCGCGACAGGACGGAAAGACCCCGUGGAGCUUUACUGUAGCCUGAUAUUGAAUUUUGGUACAGCUUGUACAGGAUAGGUAGGAGCCUGAGAAGCCGGAGCGCUAGCUUCGGUGGAGGCGUCGGUGGGAUACUACCCUGGCUGUAUUGAAAUUCUAACCCGCGGCCCUGAUCGGGCCGGGAGACAGUGUCAGGUGGGCAGUUUGACUGGGGCGGUCGCCUCCUAAAAUGUAACGGAGGCGCCCAAAGGUUCCCUCAGAAUGGUUGGAAAUCAUUCGUAGAGUGUAAAGGCACAAGGGAGCUUGACUGCGAGACCUACAAGUCGAGCAGGGACGAAAGUCGGGCUUAGUGAUCCGGUGGUUCCGCAUGGAAGGGCCAUCGCUCAACGGAUAAAAGCUACCCCGGGGAUAACAGGCUUAUCUCCCCCAAGAGUCCACAUCGACGGGGAGGUUUGGCACCUCGAUGUCGGCUCAUCGCAUCCUGGGGCUGUAGUCGGUCCCAAGGGUUGGGCUGUUCGCCCAUUAAAGCGGUACGCGAGCUGGGUUCAGAACGUCGUGAGACAGUUCGGUCCCUAUCCGUCGUGGGCGUAGGAAAUUUGAGAGGAGCUGUCCUUAGUACGAGAGGACCGGGAUGGACACACCGCUGGUGUACCAGUUGUCUUGCCAAAGGCAUCGCUGGGUAGCUAUGUGUGGACGGGAUAAGUGCUGAAAGCAUCUAAGCAUGAAGCCCCCCUCAAGAUGAGAUUUCCCAUAGCGCAAGCUAGUAAGAUCCCUGAAAGAUGAUCAGGUUGAUAGGUCAGAGGUGGAAGCGUGGCGACAUGUGUAGCUGACUGAUACUAAUCGAUCGAGGACUUAACCAA